rnacentral:tRNA from 1 species
UCCCGAAUAGCUCAGUUGGUAGAGCGAGCGGCUGUUAACCGCUAGGUCGUAGGUUCGAGCCCUACUUCGGGAGCCA